rnacentral:snRNA from 1 species
GGAUGUGAGGGUGAACUGGCUGUGAUAUCUGUCACCCCAUUGAUCAUCAGGGUUGCUUUGGCUGAUCUGGCUGGCUAGGCAGAUGUCCCCUUCCUCCCAUACUGCUCCAUGUAUGUCCCUCCUGAAGCUGUGUGCUUAGUCAAAGAGGACAACUGGCCCCAAUGUGGAGGAACAUUCUUUGGUCAAGGGUAUAUGAAUAGCUGUACUCCCCUGCCAGAACUUCCAAACAAGCUCUCAAAACUGUAAACAAAAGUGAAACUUUUCAACCUGAGAAAGGGCAUUUACAAAAUUCCACUUAAAAUACAGGAUAUUU